UAAGGUUAAGUUAAUAAGGGCGCACGGUGGAUGCCUUGGCACUAGAAGCCGAAGAAGGACGUGACUAACGACGAAAUGCUUUGGGGAGCUGUAAGUAAGCGCUGAUCCAGAGAUGUCCGAAUGGGGGAACCCACUAGUUAAUGACUAGUAUCCAUAUCUGUUAAGGAUAUGAGAAGGAAGACGCAGUGAACUGAAACAUCUAAGUAGCUGCAGGAAGAGAAAGCAAAAGCGAUUGCCUUAGUAGCGGCGAGCGAAACGGCAGGAGGGCAAACCGAAGUGUUUACACUUCGGGGUUGUAGGACUGCGAUAUAGGAUUAAUCAUUAUAGAAGAAUUACCUGGGAAGGUAAGCCAAAGAGAGUAACAGCCUCGUAUUUAAAAUGAUAGAUUAACCUUAGCAGUAUCCUGAGUACGGCGAGACACGCGAAAUCUCGUCGGAAUCUGGGAGGACCAUCUCCCAACCCUAAAUACUCUCUAGUGACCGAUAGUGAACCAGUACCGUGAGGGAAAGGUGAAAAGCACCCCGGGAGGGGAGUGAAAUAGAACCUGAAACCGUGUGCCUACAACAAGUUCGAGCCCGUUAAUGGGUGAGAGCGUGCCUUUUGUAGAAUGAACCGGCGAGUUACGAUAUGAUGCGAGGUUAAGUUGAAGAGACGGAGCCGUAGGGAAACCGAGUCUUAAUAGGGCGUCAUAGUAUCAUGUUGUAGACCCGAAACCAUGUGACCUACCCAUGAGCAGGUUGAAGGUGAGGUAAAACUCACUGGAGGACCGAACCAGGGCACGUUGAAAAGUGCUUGGAUGACUUGUGGGUAGCGGAGAAAUUCCAAACGAACUUGGAGAUAGCUGGUUCUCUCCGAAAUAGCUUUAGGGCUAGCGUCGAUGUUAAGUCUCUUGGAGGUAGAGCACUGUUUGGGUGAGGGGUCCAUCCCGGAUUACCAAUCUCAGAUAAACUCCGAAUGCCAACGAGAUAUAAUCGGCAGUCAGACUGCGAGUGCUAAGAUCCGUAGUCGAAAGGGAAACAGCCCAGACCACCAGCUAAGGUCCCAAAAUAUAUGUUAAGUGGAAAAGGAUGUGGGGUUGCACAGACAACUAGGAUGUUAGCUUAGAAGCAGCUAUUCAUUCAAAGAGUGCGUAAUAGCUCACUAGUCGAGUGACCCUGCGCCGAAAAUGUACCGGGGCUAAAACAUAUUACCGAAGCUGUGGAUGACACAAAAGUGUCAUGGUAGGAGAGCGUUCUAUGUGUGAAGAAGGUGUACCGUGAGGAGCGCUGGAACGCAUAGAAGUGAGAAUGCCGGUAUGAGUAGCGCAAGACAGGUGAGAAUCCUGUCCACCGUAAGACUAAGGUUUCCAGGGGAAGGCUCGUCCGCCCUGGGUUAGUCGGGACCUAAGGAGAGACCGAAAGGUGUAUCCGAUGGACAACAGGUUGAUAUUCCUGUACUAGAGUAUAUAGUGAUGGAGGGACGCAGUAGGCUAACUAAACCAGACGAUUGGAAGUGUCUGGUCAAACAGUGAGGUGUGAUAUGAGUCAAAUGCUUAUAUCUUUAACAUUGAGCUGUGACGAGGAGCGAAGUUUAGUAGCGAAGUUAGUGAUGUCACACUGCCAAGAAAAGCUUCUAGCGAUACAUAUACUCUACCCGUACCGCAAACCGACACAGGUAGUCGAGGCGAGUAGCCUCAGGUGAGCGAGAGAACUCUCGUUAAGGAACUCGGCAAAAUGGCCCCGUAACUUCGGGAGAAGGGGCGCUGAUUUUAGAUCAGCCGCAGUGAAUAGGCCCAAGCAACUGUUUAUCAAAAACACAGCUCUCUGCUAAAUCGUAAGAUGAUGUAUAGGGGGUGACGCCUGCCCGGUGCUGGAAGGUUAAGAGGAGUGCUUAGCGUAAGCGAAGGUAUGAAUUGAAGCCCCAGUAAACGGCGGCCGUAACUAUAACGGUCCUAAGGUAGCGAAAUUCCUUGUCGGGUAAGUUCCGACCCGCACGAAAGGCGUAAUGAUUUGGGCACUGUCUCAACGAGAGACUCGGUGAAAUUUUAGUACCUGUGAAGAUGCAGGUUACCCGCGACAGGACGGAAAGACCCCAUGGAGCUUUACUGCAGUUUGAUAUUGAGUAUCUGUACCACAUGUACAGGAUAGGUAGGAGCCUAUGAUAACGGGACGCCAGUUUCGUUUGAGGCGUUGUUGGGAUACUACCCUUGUGUUAUGGCUACUCUAACCCAGAUAGGCAAUCCCUAUCGGAGACAGUGUCUGACGGGCAGUUUGACUGGGGCGGUCGCCUCCUAAAAAGUAUAAGGGAGCUUGACUGCGAGAGCUACAACUCGAGCAGGGACGAAAGUCGGGCUUAGUGAUCCGGUGGUUCCGUAUGGAAGGGCCAUCGCUCAACGGAUAAAAGCUACCCUGGGGAUAACAGGCUUAUCUCCCCCAAGAGUUCACAUCGACGGGGAGGUUUGGCACCUCGAUGUCGGCUCGUCGCAUCCUGGGGCUGUAGUCGGUCCCAAGGGUUGGGCUGUUCGCCCAUUAAAGCGGCACGCGAGCUGGGUUCAGAACGUCGUGAGACAGUUCGGUCCCUAUCCGUCGCGGGCGUAGGAAAUUUGAGAGGAUCUGCUCCUAGUACGAGAGGACCAGAGUGGACUUACCGCUGGUGUACCAGUUGUCUUGCCAAAGGCAUCGCUGGGUAGCUAUGUAGGGAAGGGAUAAGCGCUGAAAGCAUCUAAGUGCGAAGCCCACCUCAAGAUGAGAUUUCCCAUGAUUUUAUAUCAGUAAGAGCCCUGAGAGAUGAUCAGGUAGAUAGGUUAGGAGUGUAAUUGUGGUGACACAUUUAGCGGACUAAUACUAAUAGCUCGAGGACUUAUCCAAAA
rnacentral:rRNA from 1 species